rnacentral:miRNA from 1 species
GGCUCUGGGGAGGGAGUGGGGUGUGUGUGUGUGUGUGUGUGUGUGUGCGCACGCGGGUGUGUGUGUAUAACCUCACCUGAGCCCAUGACUCA